rnacentral:rRNA from 1 species
GCUUCCCUCUUUCUUCGUGCCUAAUACAUGCAAGUCGAGCGAACAGACGAGGAGCUUGCUCCUCUGACGUUAGCGGCGGACGGGUGAGUAACACGUGGAUAACCUACCUAUAAGACUGGGAUAACUUCGGGAAACCGGAGCUAAUACCGGAUAAUAUAUUGAACCGCAUGGUUCAAUAGCGAAAGACGGUUUUGCUGUCACUUAUAGAUGGAUCCGCGCCGCAUUAGCUAGUUGGUAAGGUAACGGCUUACCAAGGCAACGAUGCGUAGCCGACCUGAGAGGGUGAUCGGCCACACUGGAACUGAGACACGGUCCAGACUCCUACGGGAGGCAGCAGUAGGGAAUCUUCCGCAAUGGGCGAAAGCCUGACGGAGCAACGCCGCGUGAGUGAUGAAGGUCUUCGGAUCGUAAAACUCUGUUAUUAGGGAAGAACAAAUGUGUAAGUAACUAUGCACGUCUUGACGGUACCUAAUCAGAAAGCCACGGCUAACUACGUG